AUUAAAGGGCCGCGGUAUUUUAACCGUGCAAAGGUAGCAUAAUCAUUAGGUUUUUAAUUAGAAUCUUGUAUGAAUGGUUCGACAAAAGAAGUUCUGUCUUUGUAUUAAAAUUUGAAUUUAACUUUUAAGUGAAAAGGCUUAAAUAUAUUAAAGGGACGAUAAGACCCUAUAAAACUUUACAUUGUAAUUUUAUUUAAUUAAAUUUAUAAAAUAAAAAUUUGAUUUAAUUAUAUGUUAUGUUGGGGAGACAGAAGUAAAAUAAAUUUUAACUGCUUUAUGUUAAAACAUAUAUUUAUGAAAUAUUAAAUGAUCCUUUAUAAAGAUUAAAAGAUUAAGUUACUUUAGGGAUAACAGCGUUAUUUUUUUUGAGAGUUCCUAUCGAAAAGAAAGUUUGCGACCUCGAUGUUGAAUUAAAAUAUCUUUAUGGUGCAGAAGCUAUAAAAGAAGGUCUGUUCGACCUUUAAAUUUUUACAUGAUUUGAGUUCA
rnacentral:rRNA from 1 species